UGUCACAUCCUGGGGACACUGGGACAGAGGCCACCGUGGUGGUGGCAUCUCCAGGGACUUCAGGGACGCGUCCCAAAGUGUCCCAGGAGCAGUUGGUGGCUCCGGGCUGGGCUGUCCCCUCCAUGGCCACAUCCUCUCCAGGGGCCACCAGCAUCUUGUCACUUCCUGGGGAUGUGGAGACAGGUGCCACCACAGUGGUGGCAUCUCCGUAGGCUUCGGUGACGUGUCCCAAAGUGUCCCUGGGGUCACUGGUGAUGUUGGUCUGGGCUGUCCCCUCCAUGGCCACGUCCCCACUGGUGGCCACCAGGACUUUGUCACUUCCUGGGGAUGUGGAGACAGGUGCAACCACGGUGGUGGCAUCUCCGUAGGCUUCAGUGAUGAAUCCCAAAGUGUCCCUGGGGUCACCAGUGGCACUUGGAUCUUCUGUCCCCUCCACAGCGAUGUCCCCACUGGUGGCCAGCAGGGCUUUGUCACCUCCUGGGGACACUGGGACAGAGGCCACCGUGGUGGUGGCAUCUCCGGGGACCUCAGGGACACGUCCCAAAGUGUCCCAGGAGCAGUUGGUGGCACCGGGCUGGGCCGUCCCCUCCAUGGCCACAUCCUCUCCAGGGGCCACCAGCAUCUUGUCACUUCCUGGGGAUGUGGUGACAGUGGCCAUCGUGGUGGUGGCAUCUCCGUAGGCUUCGGUGACGCAUCUCAGAGCACCCCUGGGGUCACCGGUGGCACUCGGAUCUUCUGUCCCCUCCAUGGCCACGUCAGCGCUGGUGGCCACCAGGGCUUUGUCACCUCCUGGGGACACUGGGACAGAGGCCGCCGUGGUGGUGGCAUCUCCAGUGACAUCACUGAGAUGUCCCAAAGUGUCCCUGGGGUCACCAGUGGCUUCAGGUGUGGCCGUCACCUCCAUGGUCACGUCCCCACUGGUGGCCACCAGGACUUUGUCACCUCCUGGGGAUGUGGUGACAGUGGCCACCAUCGUGGUGGCAUCUGCGUAGGCUUCGCUGACGCGUCCCAGAGCGUCCCUGGGGUCAUCGGUGACACUCGGAUCUUCUGUCCCCCCCAUGGCCACGUCCCCACUGGUGGCCACCAGGACUUUGUCACCUCCUGAGGACACUGGGACAGAGGCCAUCGUGGUGGUGGCAUCUCCGUAGGCUUCAGUGACGUGUCCCGAACUGUCCCUGGGGUCACCGGUGGCACCUGGAUCUUCUGUCCCCUCCACCUCGAUGUCACCCUGGGUGGCCACCAGGAUUUUGUCACUUCCUGGGGAUGUGGUGACAGUGGCCACCAUGGUGGUGGCAUCUCCAUAGGCUUCAGUGAUGAAUCCCAGAGUGUCCCUGGGGUCACCGGUGACAUCGGGCUGGGCUGUCUCCUCUAUUGCCACGUCCCCACUUGUGACUUCCAGCACUUUGUCACCUCCUGAGGACACUGGGACAGAGGCCGACGUGAUGGUGGCAUCUCCAGGGACCUCAGGGACGCGUCCCAAAGUGUCCCAGGAGCAGUUGGUGGCACUGGGCUGGGCCGUCCCCUCCAUGGUGACAUCCCCAGUGGUGCCCACCAGAGCUCGGUCCCCUCCUGGGGACGUGGCGACAGCGGCCACCAUGGUGGUGGCAUCUCCAUAGGCUUCAGUGACACGUCCCAGAGCAUCCCUGGGGUCACCGGUGGCACUCGGAUCUUCUGUCCCCUCCACCGCGAUGUCCCCACCGGGGGCCACCAGCGCCGCGUCCGCCACCGGGACGUCCCUGGAGCAGUUGGGGGUCCCUGGGGCCGCCCCCAGGGAUGUCCCCAGAGGUGUCCCCGAUGUCCCUGAUGUCCCCAGAGAUGUCCCCAACGAUGUCCCCGGUGUCCCCAAGGGUGUCCCCGAUGUCCCCAGAGAUGUCCCCGAUGUCCCCAGAGGUGUCCCCGAUGCCCUCUCGUCGCAGUCCGGUGGCAGCUCCGGGGGUGGGGGAGGGGAGGGCGGUGGGGGAGGGGCGGUGGGGCCGCAGCGCCGGGGUGGGGGAGGGGCAGGGGUGGGGGUGGGGGCGGCCCCCAUGGGGGGAGGGGCACACAGCGCUGUGGGGGAGGGGAGAGGGGUCAGUCAGUGGGGGGACCCUCAAAAAGGGACCCCCAAAAGUUAAAAAAACCCCAAAAAAACCCAAAAAAAUCCCCAAAAAAAUCCCCAAAAAAACCCACAGGCCCGAGACUCCCCAAAACCCCAAAAAGUCCCCAAAAGAGACCCCAAAAGCCCCAAAGUGACGCCCAAAAAGCCCCCAGACCCCAAAAACUUCAAAGUGACCCCAAAAAGCCCAAAAACUCCCCAAAAGUGACCCCAAAAGCCCCAAAGAGGCCCCAAAAGGGACCCCCAAAGCCCCCAGACCCAAAAGCCCCAAAAAAAUCUCCAAAAAGCCCCAGAGGCCCGAGACCCCCCAAAAGCCCAAAAACUCCCCAAAAGUGACCCCAAAAACCCCAAAGUGACGCCCAAAAAGCCCAAAAAAGUCCCCAAAAGUGACCCCCGAGACCCCAAAGAGACCCCAGAGCCCCCAUUGCACCCCACAGCCCAUAGCGCCCCCAUAGCGCCCCAUAACCCCCAUAGCGCCCCAUAACCCACCCCAUAGAACCCCACAGCA
ensembl:lncRNA